rnacentral:rRNA from 1 species
GAUGAACGCUGGCGGCGUGCCUAAUACAUGCAAGUCGAGCGAACGGACUUGAAUCUUGCUUCUCUGAUGUUAGCGUCCGUCGGGUUAGUAACACGUUCAUAACCUACCUAUAUGACUCGGUUAAUUUCGUGAAUCCGGAGCUUCUACCGGAUAAUUUUUUGAACCGCAUUUUUCAAAAGUCUAAUACGUUCUUUCUUUUACUUAUAGAUGGUUCCGCGUUUGAUUAGCUAGUUGGUAAGGUAACUGCUUACCAAGGCAACGAUGCAUAGCCGACCUGAGAGGAUGAUAGGACACACUGGAACUGAGACAGGGUCCAGAGUACUACGGGAGGCAGCAGUAGGGAAUGUUGCGCAAUGGGCGAAAGCGUGACGGAGCAACACAGCGUGAGUGAUGAAGGACUACGGAUCGUAAAAAUCUGUUAUGAGGGAAGAACAUAAGUGUAAGUAACUGUGCACAUCUUGACGGUACAUAAUCAGAAAGCCACGGCUAACUACGUG